AAAGAUUUGGUUUUGGAGACUUCAGCUGGAUUAUUUUGUCAACAUUAUGAAACUUGAUAUGGGGUUUUGGUUUAACCCAGUUUUAUACUAACGUUAGGUGGAAAACUAUAUCUUCUAUUUAGACUUGAACAAGUUAAUUUGCCGCAAGUGAGUUAAGCAGCUUCACAGGAUACCUUUUCCCUCAAGAAACUCAAGCUUCACAGGAUGCCUUUUUCCGCAAGAAACUCUUCUAUACAAAAUGAGUUUAGGAAUAAGUACAAACAAACAAAAAUUAAAAACAGGGAUUCGGUUCGUCAACAAUUAUAUAGUGAUAACAUUUUCAAAGUAUAUAUCAUCAUCAUCAUUAACUAGUUGGGGUUGGUGGUCGAUGGUCCUCAACAUCUCCUUUAGUCCUUUAGACUAGUCCUUACCAAAAACGUUUGACUAUUCAUUUUAGCUAAAUUAUAUAUUCCGAUAGGCUCGUUUUAAUUAUACGAAAUUAUACUUUUGUAUUGCCAUUCAUAACAAAUUUUAUUUUGUAUAUAUAUGUUUGUGGUCGAUAUAGUCAAUGGAACCAUUAGGUAGAACUUUAAAUCAAUAAAUGAUAUUUUUGAAUUGAAAAUUAGGGUACGAAUUAUUCCAAAUUCCCAUUCUUCAACUUAAUAAAUAUGGGCUGUUCAUCUACUAUGAAUUAA